rnacentral:rRNA from 1 species
AAUAGAUACCCUGGUAGUCCACGCCGUAAACGAUGAGUGCUAGGUGUUGGGGGGGUCCACCCCUCGGUGCCGAAGUUAACACAUUAAGCACUCCGCCUGGGGAGUACGGUCGCAAGACUGAAACUCAAAGGAAUUGACGGGGACCCGCACAAGCAGUGGAGUAUGUGGUUUAAUUCGAAGCAACGCGAAGAACCUUACUAGGUCUUGACAUCCCUCUGAAUCCUCUAGAGAUAGAGGCGGCCUUCGGGACAGAGGAGACAGGUGGUGCAUGGUUGUCGUCAGCUCGUGUCGUGAGAUGUUGGGUUAAGUCCCGCAACGAGCGCAACCCUUGAAUUUAGUUGCCAGCACUUUGGGUGGGCACUCUAGAUUGACUGCCGGUGACAAACCGGAGGAAGGCGGGGAUGACGUCAAAUCAUCAUGCCCCUUAUGACCUGGGCUACACACGUACUACAAUGGCCGGUACAACGGGCAGCGAAGGAGCGAUCCGGAGCCAAUCCUACCAAAGCCGGUCUCAGUUCGGAUUGCAGGCUGCAACUCG